CUACGUGCCAGCAGCCGCGGUAAUACGUAGGUGGCAGGCGUUGUCCGGAAUUAUUGGGCGUAAAGGGCGCGCAGGCGGCUUCUUAAGUCUGUCUUAAAAGUGCGGGGCUUAACCCCGUGAUGGGAUGGAAAUUGGGAAGCUCAGAGUAUCGGAGAGGAAAGCGGAAUUCCUAGUGUAGCGGUGAAAUGCGUAGAUAUUAGGAGGAACACCAGUGGCGAAAGCGGCUUUCUGGACGAAAACUGACGCUGAGGCGCGAAAGCCAGGGGAGCGAACGGGAUUAGAUACCCCGGUAGUCCUGGCCGUAAACGAUGGGUACUAGGUGUAGGAGGUAUCGACCCCUUCUGUGCCGGAGUUAACGCAAUAAGUACCCCGCCUGGGGAGUACGACCGCAAGGUUGAAACUCAAAGGAAUUGACGGGGGCCCGCACAAGCGGUGGAGUAUGUGGUUUAAUUCGACGCAACGCGAAGAACCUUACCAAGCCUUGACAU
rnacentral:rRNA from 1 species